rnacentral:lncRNA from 1 species
UGAGACCUUCCCAUCCCACGCACACAAUCCCACCGUAACAACACGGUGGUUUGAAGGCAAAAUGAUUGUCGUAGGUAGUAGCCAUGCGUCCUAUCAACCCUUAGCAAGGUGGCUGCCAUUACCCAAUUCCUGUGUCCAGCUGGUUGCCAUCGUGUCAUGUGGCGGCACACAUGUUCGUCAUAAACUCGUAUGAAAAUUGGUC